UACGAAGGGUGCAAGCGUUACUCGGAAUUACUGGGCGUAAAGCGUGCGCAGGCGGUCUUUUAAGUCAGAUGUGAAAUCCCCGGGCUUAACCUGGGAACUGCGUUUGAAACUGGAAGGCUAGAGUGUGGCAGAGGGGGGUGGAAUUCCACGUGUAGCAGUGAAAUGCGUAGAUAUGUGGAGGAACACCGAUGGCGAAGGCAGCCAUCUGGACCGACACUGACGCUGAGGCGCGAAAGCGUGGGGAGCAAACAGG
rnacentral:rRNA from 1 species